AGCUCCUGUUGAUAAAGAAUGCACAGAAAUCCAAGUUGUAACAGCCUGAAAUCCAUCAGUAUUGCUGAUCAUGAAAGAAAGUGAGAACACCCCUAACUGAGAAUGGCAAAUGCCCCAGUAUUCCAUCACUUCCUUCUACCUUCGGAUAAUUUGGAGAAAAGAGAGAGUGAGCUCAUGUAGAUUGGUCUGAAACAGAUGAUGUAACUCUAUUGACAUUGAACUCUAAGGAGAGCUGGGACCAAAAUGGUCUUUUGCAACGCCAAUGUAAGCCGAUUGUAGUGUUCACCAUUCGCCUGGGUUUAAAAGUUUGGUCAUUUUAUGUAUGCUAAGAGGCUAAAUUUCAAUUCCUAAAUGCUUCCGCUGUUAAUUGCAGUUUGCCAAUUGAUGUUGUCAUGGUUCAAUUGGGCAACAUUUUAGCAUGAAUUUACAGACUUUCUCAAAUAGAUUACAAUUAGUGUUGGCCCGCCUGCCAGCCUAAAGGCAAUGAAAUAAUAUUUUGAAUUAUAAAAUGAAUAAGUUGUACAAAAAGAAGGAAUAAGAGUUUUUUGAAGCAAGGAAAUAUAAAAAAUCAUUACAUAUUUACAUCACCUGAAAGAAAAAAGUUCUGAAUUCAUAUUUGUUAUCAUCUAUAGAAGUCUUUCCAAUUGAAUGUCUUAAUUUGAAAUUAAUAUGUAGUUACAUAAAACUUGGCGGAUUAUGCUGAGGAUUUCAUUCCGCCUCCACUUUCAAUUGUAAAUCAUACAUAAAUUCCCAUUAUAAUUAAUGAGGACAGAAAAGAGAAUUAGACUUUUACUUAUAAUAAUUUCAGCUCUUUUAUCUUUUUUCAGUGUUCAUUUCCCACCGAUUUAACCAUAUCUUUGUCUAAAAAACAGGAACAUAAAAGAUUUGGCAUUACCACAAUGUGUACUUAAGGUAAUUAAGAAAAAUAUAUACCCCUAAUUUUUAUGAAUAAAAAUCAGAAUCUUUGAUUUGUACCAAUAAUCAUAAUCAUAAUAAAUGAAUGGAAAAAAAAACCUAAUUAAUUUCUCAUCUAUAAAAUUCGAAAGGAAGUCCAUUAUCUUUCUUUGUAUUGCCUUGAGAAAUAUAGUCCAGAGAAACCAUUGAAAGCUUAAGGUAAGUUACUUCUGUGCUUUAUUACACUGCCAUUUCUUUAUUAGCUAACCUUUGUUCAGUUGCUAGCCGUUUGUCUUUUCCUGUAUUGUUCUUUUUUUCUUCUGAUUUUAUUAUUGUUCUCUGGUUCUUCUUUUUCAUACAUUGGUUUCUUUUACAGCAGGCGUGGAAAAGGCUUUGAAUCUAAUCUAGAUUAAAAAAAAAAUUGUUCAUGGGUUUCAUUGUUUCUGUGAAUGUUUACAUCCUUAAAAUGAAGAUAAAAUUUUCCAACAAAUCCAUUUCGGAUAUCGGUACGUGUCUAACACUUAAAUCGAGUCCAUAUAACACAGCUCUGAAUCCUGAUAUAUACAGCACGUGUAAGAUUUUAUGAUAUGGACUCAAUAGAUAUGAUCUCGAUGCCAUACAAUUUGCUUGUGAUAGAACUUGAACUAUCAACAUUGGACCACUUACUUGUUGUCAAGGAUAACGGUAUUGUCAAAAACUGGAUCUGCUCUGAUUCAAUGCCCCACUAAGUGUUAGGAUAGUCUUGAAUUGUGAUUUAAUUAGGAUUGUUUAAUUCUAAUUAAAUUAGUAUACCUUAUAAAUAGUCUUUAAAUCUAGUUAGAUUAGAAUAACAAUUUCUAAUUCUAUUAGGAUAAGAUUCCUAAUUAAAUUAGGAUAAGGUUAUUGUAUUUGAUACUAUAAAGGACCCUAUGGGUUAAAGAAUAAUUAUCACUUAGAUUUAGAGAGAGUGAUUUAGGUGUACGUGGGAUAAGGGUUAUGAGUUUAAGACUGUUUCUUGUAAUCUCCUGAUUUUUCUCUUAGUGGAUUUUUCUCUGUUACUGUGUCCGUGGACGUAGGUCAUCAAAAGACCGAACCACGUAAAUUCUUGUGUUCUUGUGGGUGUCCUUGAUUUCUUUCUUUCUUUAUUCUAUUGAUUGGAUUAGAUCUUGGACAAUUCUUUAGAGACAAUUCCAUAAUUUCCCAACANUAUAUUUUUAUUUGCAAUUAGAUAAGUCUUUAUAUUUUUAUUUUUAAAUCAAAUAAGCUUUUACAACUAAUAAUUGAUUUAGUCAAAAUACUAUUUGUUAUUCUAUGCUUUCGUAGCGUUGAUUACUCUCUAUAUGAAAGCUAUAUCAAUGUCAUAUGAAUAUAAAAUAACAAGUGAUAUUUUCAUUAAUGACAAUUAGUCAAUUAUUAGUCACAAAGCCUUAUUUGACUCAAAAUAAAAAUUAUAGAGUUUUGAUUAAACAUAAUAAAAGAAUAAAGACUUUUUUAAUUUUUUUUCAUAAUUUAAAGACUUAUUUGAGUAUUAUUUUAAAUUUUUUUACAUAAUUUAAGGAUUUAUUUGAGUAUUAUGUAAAAAAAAAAUCUUCUUAAGUGAGAGCGAAUUAAGUAAUGAAUUCAAGCUAAAAAAUAUAACAAAUAAAUAAACUUACUAAGAAGUCAAAUGUUUGGAUGCUUUUCUAAUGAAAUUGCUGAUUAAUUUGUUUUAUAUAUAUAUAUACACCCUUUUUAAAUACAAACCAAGCAAUUAAGGUCAUUUUAUAACUUAUAUUGAGAUUUAAUGGCUAAUAGUGUGAGAAAAGAGGUUCUGGCAUUACUUUAAAAAAUGAUUGAACCGAAAAAGAUUCCUCGCGGGGUGAGGAAUGAGAUUUCAGUGUUUAACAUGGAAGAAAUGAAUAAUAACAAAAGGAAAAUAAUUGCAGUAUAUCCCUCAAAUUUAAACACCUAAAAAAGGGCACCAAUCCAGCUAUCAAAGAAGCCAAUUCUAAGAUCGCUGCAUGAAUAAUAAUGAAUAGAGACAUCACCAAUAACUUUUGGUGGUCCCUUGCCCCUAGAAAAGGAGUCCCAUUAUCUUCACCACACACGUCCCAAUAGAGAGAAGCAUGUUAGUUUCAAUGAGCAUUCCCUUCAUUGCCCAUCCUCCCUCCACUUAUAUAUAAACCCCUCCAUUGAUUCACUUCAAGUGCCAAACUUCUUCAACAAUGGAUAAAAGGAAGCCCUAUCUUGCUGCUAUUCUCGUACAAUCUAUUUAUGCUGGCAUGUUCUUGCUCUCCAAGGCUGCAUUUGAUGGCGGCAUGAACAAUUUUGUGUUCGUUUUUUACAGACAGGCUGCAGCAACAGUUUUCUUGAUCCCUCUCGCCUUGUUAUUUGAAUGGUAAAUUUCUCAAUUAGCCUUUAAAGUUUUUCCCUGGUUUUUGGCCAAUUUUCUUUGAAAGUUCAGUAUAUAUUAUGUAUCCACUUGAGUAAUUAUUUUCUUUCUAACUCAAGGAAAACUGCGCCGCCUCUAUCAUUCAUGACCUUCUGCAAGAUUUUUAUGCUAUCUUUAUGCGGGUAUGUCCAGUUGAAAUUGCUUGUUGAAUUAACAUAUUGCAGCCAUCGCACUCAAAGUUAUCAAUAGAAAAUGAAAAAGCAAUAUACAUGACUUUCAAGUUUCAAUUUUCACUCGUUUUCUUCAAUUUCAGGAUAACUUUAAGCUUGGAUAUCUAUGGCGUUGCCCUGAUUUAUACCUCUGCAACUUUAGCUGCUGCAACAACAAAUUGCCUGCCUGUCAUCACUUUUUUCUUGGCAGUGUUACUCAGGUAAUUAGUUCCAGCUCUUGAUUUUUUUUUUCAAUAUCCAUUCUUUUGUCUUCUUUUAGAUUGAUGAAUGAUAUAUGCUCUCAUCUUAUAAAUUUCACUCUAUAUAUCCUUCUUAGGUAAAUUUCUUUUAGGAUAUCUCUUUGGAGACAAAGUUCAUCGUUUAAUUAGCAUGUCAUAUUAGUGAAUGAUGCUAACAUUUUUUUUACCCAAAAGUGAAAAAGAAAAAGAAAAAAGAGAAGGAAUAAUUAAUUAGUCGCGGCUUCUCAUCAGAAGCGGAAAUGAUGUUAGCAUGAGACAUGGAAAUAUCAGCAUUAGGCUUCGUAGAUGCUUCAAGUUUCAGAUGUAUGAUGCCAAAUUAUGCAUGGAUUCAUCACUCAUAUUCUACAAUAACAUUAUUUGAUAUAAUUUCAAAAGAGAGAAGUACCUUAUUUCAUAUAUUCACGCGUGUUGAGAUUAAGUCCUAUUAAUUCUUUCAUUUAACUUGUUUUUAAAAGGGAAAUUACUAUUUUAGAAUCGACUUUUAUAUCUUUUCUUAUUUUUAACUAAUACUAAAUUUAAGUGGAUUAAUUCUAGUUUUAUUUUUGCAAAAAAUAUAGUAAGCAUGCCAUGUGACAGACAGCUCAUUGAUUCAUUAGACCUAAUCAUUCUUGUAUCGAAUGUCUUCCUCUUUAACUGUGAUUAAUUAAAAAUUGAUAGAAGGUUGCUUCUUAGGAAAGAAUGUUUAGGUUGCAACUGAUAAGGAAUAGCUUUGUCUUAAAAAUCUGGUCGGUGGAAAGGGCUUGACACUCUUAUAGGAAUGGGAAUAUGCAGGGCAAUUUGCCCUUCUAUUAGUCCCUGUAGGAAUGUUUUAAAUAUUUUAUUAGUAUUACUAUUUGCUUGAUUUUACCUUUGAUCCCUCUGAUUAUUGGUCAAGAAUAAAAAAAAUCCCUCAAUCAUAGGAAAUUAUCAUAUAAAAAAAAAAGAGCUUAAAAACAUUAUUUUAAUACAAUUUUUUAUGUUGAAUCCUACGUUCCAAAUUUGCACACACACAAUAUUAUAAAAAACAAUUUCUUGUUUAUAGUGAAAGAUUUUGCUAGUUGCUACAUAUUAAUUUUGGAGUUCCAAAUUAAGCUUCAUUUAUUAAAAACAUAUUUACCAAUACAUACAAUUUAUCAUUUUUUUUAAAAGUUAAUUUUAUUGACAUUAAACUGCUAUGCCAUAUGAAGUCUUUAACUUUAUUCUAACAAUUUAUCAUUUAAAUUAACGGUAAAUGUAUAUAUCUUUUAUUUAUAAGUCAAUUUCAAAUGUUUACUUUUUUUUCUAAAUAAAAAAGGCAUUUAUUUUAGAUAGUUAAUGGUUUUGAUCUUUUUUUUUUCAAGAUCAAUCGGGUAUAUGCAACAUCGUCAAUAAUGUCCUUGGAAAACCUUGCUCAAUGCAACGAUCUUUGUUUUUUUAUUCUUAUUCUUCUCAUUAGUUAUAUUGUGCCUUUCAAUCAAAGUCAAAAAAGAAACAUAGGGUCCCAUGGUGUAGUAGCCAAAGAGAAAAUGCCGAUAUGUAAUUAAUUCAAAAACAUUUAAAACACUAAACCUUGCAACAUAGACAGGCUAACCAAAAAUUUCCAACGCGUGAUCUAAUUAUAGAAACUGUCAAAUGCUCUUUUAAUUAGCUAUUUGUUAGUUUAACUCUUCGUAAAAUAAGUUCUAAAAAACAACAAUAACAUUGGUCUUUACUAUUUGAUAUUUUUUGAAGUUUUCAUAAAUCUUUUCUGCUCAAUGAAUAUCAGGUUUGUCAUAGAAGCAAACAACUAAAUAUGUUGUGACUUGCAUUUGCUUUAGACUUUUACUGUUUCUCUAGCACUUUCUGAAGUGAAUGAACCCUGGAGUAUUCAGUGGAAAUCUGCAAGGCCAGUUUUUGGUUGCAAUCUGAUAGGCCUGCUCUUUAAGCUUCUAGGCUUUAAAAAGUAAUUUGUGUUCCAUAGAGUUCUUACUUUAGCUUAGUAUAUUCAUUUUGAACAUUUUUGAAACACUUUACAUGUAUGCAAGCAAGACAUUUAACGUCCAAGCAUUUGACUUAUUGAUACAUAAUUUUUCUGUUUAAAAAAAUAAAAUUCAAAUCCUCUUUCUCUAAAUUAAAAAAAAAUAAACAAGACAUUUACAUCAUUAAAAUGAAGAUAAAAUUUUCCAACAAAUCCAUUUUUAGAUAUCGGUACGUGUCUAACACUUAAAUCGAGUCCAUAUCACACAGCUCUGAAUCCUGAUAUAUACAGCACGUGUAAGAAUUUAUGAUAUGGACUCGAUAGAUAUGAUCUAGAUGCCAUACAAUUUGCUUGUGACAGAACUUGAACUAUCAACAUUGGACCACUUACUUGUUGUCAAGGAUAACGGUAUUGUCAAAAACCGGAUCUGCUCUGAUUCAAUGCCCCACUAAAUUUGGAGUUACAUGUAUUUGCAACCUUUCCACCAAUGUCUCUUGGGAGAAACAAGUAAAACAAAACCAUGUCAGAAAGUUUAGCAAUGUCUUUCUUCUACAUUCAUUUCCUUUUUAUUUAAAAAAAAAAAAAAAAAUAUAUAUAUACAUAUAUAUUAUAAUAUAUAUAUAUAUUCAUUUUGUCUAAUUAAGAAAGUUGGAAUCCAGAAAAAAAUUGUAAAUUACAGUUAUGGUUAAUUUGGAAUGUUUCGUGUAUUUGUAUUAUUUUUUGGAUGGUUUCUUUGCUUCUGUAUCUGUUCAAUCAAAUUGGCUAAAAAGAUGAAAUUUGAAUGGCAGAAUGGAGGUGUUGAGACUGAAGACAACUCCAGGGAUUGCAAAAAUUGUAGGAAUACUAAUUUGUUUGGCUGGUGCAUUGACCCUUGCCUUUUACAAGGGUCCCCAUAUGAAACUUUUCUGCCUCCAUCACCUGUUUGAGCACCACCAUAGCCAGAACCUUCAGAGACGUACUUCCUCCGGCGACACAUGGAUAAAGGGUUGUUUCCUCAUGUUGAUUUCCAACAGUUUCUGGGGCUUAUGGCUCGUAUUGCAGGUAGGCAUUUAUCCAGAUCAAGUUGUGCCAUGAUAAAAUUGUACUUCCAUUUUAGGACAAUGAAGAAAAUUUUUGGUGUGAAACAGGGUCGGGUUUUGAAGAGCUACCCUUCAAAACUUCUCUUUACAGCUCUUCAGUGCUUCUUAAGCACAAUUCAAUCAUUUGCUAUUGCUAUUGCUCUGGAAAGAGACCCUUACGAAUGGAGACUGGGCUGGAAUGUUAGACUCCUUGCAGUAGCGUACUGUGUAAACAUCUACUGCUACACUUGUUCUUAUACAUGCAAAUAUACGCAUACCUAUAGACACAUAUCUGUAGUAGGGUGUUGAUGAAUUCUAUGCUGCUUACGGCAGGGGAUUGUGGUAACGGGCGUGACAUUUUACCUACAAGCAUGGGUUAUUGAGAAGAAAGGGCCUGUCUUCUUGGCCAUGUCAACACCAUUGAAUCUGAUGUUCACAAUAUUUUGUUCUGCAUUUCUCUUAUGCGAGAUUAUCAAUUUAGGAAGGUAAAGUUAUAACCAUCUUAGCCUUCAAGUUAUCUUUCUGAAUUCUGAUUUCAAUAUCUAACCUUAGUUUCUUAUUGUUUCUUCAGUGUCUUAGGGGGGCUGUUAUUGAUUGGUGGGCUAUACAGUGUGUUGUGGGGAAAAACCAGAGAGCAAAGAAUGCUGGAUGAGAAUUGUUUACCAGCUCCUGUUGAUAAAGAAUGCACAGAAAUCCAAGUUGUAACAGCCUGAAAUCCAUCAGUAUUGCUGAUCAUGAAAGAAAGUGAGAACGCUCCUAACUGAGAAUGGCAAAUGCCCCAGUAUUCCAUCACUUCCUUCUACCUUCGGAUAAUUUGGAGAAAAGAGAGAGUGAGCUCAUGUAGAUUGGUCUGAAACAGAUGAUGUAACUCUAUUGACAUUGAACUCUAAGGAGAGCUGGGACCAAAAUGGUCUUUUGCAACGCCAAUGUAAGCCGAUUGUAGUGUUCACCA
rnacentral:lncRNA from 1 species